rnacentral:rRNA from 1 species
AGAGCGAACGCUGGCGGCAGGCCUAACACAUGCAAGUCGAGCGCCCGUAGCAAUACGGGAGCGGCAGACGGGAUAGUAACACGUGGGAACGCGCCCUUCGGUUCGGAAUAACUCAGGGAAACUUAAGCUAAUACCGGAUACGCCCUUACGGGGAAAGAUUUAUUGCCGAAGGAACGGCCCGCGUCCGAUUAGCUAGUUGGUGAGGUAAUGGCUCACCAAGGCGACGAUCGGUAGCUGGUCUGAGAGGAUGACCAGCAUCACUGGGACUGAGACACGGCCCAGACUCCUACGGGAGGCAGCAGUGGGGAAUAUUGGACAAUGGGCGCAAGCCUGAUCCAGCCAUGCCGCGUGGAUGAUGAAGGCCUUAGGGUUGUAAAGUCCUUUAACGGGGAAGAUAAUGACGGUACCGUAGAAUAAGCCCGGCUAACUUCGUGCCAGCAGCCGC